GACUCUCGGCAACGGAUAUCUAGGCUCUCACAUCGAUGAAGAACGUAGCAAAAUGCGAUACUUGGUGUGAAUUAUACAAUCCCGUGAUUCAUCAAGUCUUUGAACACAAGUUGUGCCUGAAGCCAUUAGACCGAGGGCACGCCUGCCUGGGCGUCA
rnacentral:rRNA from 1 species